rnacentral:rRNA from 1 species
CAGACGGCUCAGUAACACGUAGUCAACCUAACCUGUGGACGUGGAUAAUCUCGGGAAACUGAGGAUAAACCACGAUAGAUAACGGUGCCUGGAAUGGCCCAUUGUCCAAACAGUUUACUGCCACGGGAUGGGACUGCGGCCUAUCAGCUUGUUGGUGAGGUAAUGGCCCACCAAGGCUAUAACAGGUACGGGCUCUGAGAGGAGAAGCCCGGAGAUGGGUACUGAGACACGGACCCAGGCCCUAUGGGGCGCAGCAGGCGAGAAACCUUAGCAAUGUGCGAAAGCACGACUGGGUCAGUCCGAGUGAUUUCUGAUAAAGGAAUCUUUUGCCCGUCCUAAAAGCACGGGCGAAUAAGGGGUGGGCAAGUCUGGUGUCAGCCGCCGCGGUAAUACCAGCACCUCGAGCGGUCAGGACGAUUAGAGGGCCUAAAGCAUGCGGAGCGGGAUAUUUAAGGCUACAGUUAAUUCCAA